rnacentral:rRNA from 1 species
UACAGAGGGUGCGAGCGUUAAUCGGAAUUACUGGGCGUAAAGCGUGCGUAGACGGUUAUUUAAGUCGGAUGUGAAAGCCCCGGGCUCAACCUGGGAAUUGCAUUCGAGACUGAAUAGCUAGGGUGCGGUAGAGGGAAGCGGAAUUUCCGGUGUAGCGGUGAAAUGCGUAGAUAUCUGCAGGAACACCCGUGGCGAAAGCGGCGCGCUGGACCACUACUGACGCUGAGGAACGAAAGCUAGGGGAGCAAACAGG